UGGAAAGUUCAUUGUUCGGCACCAUGGAUCUCCAGGUGGGUCACGAUUAGAAAUACACCAACCUGGAGGACUCCAUGCUGUUGAGCUGUUCAUGA
rfam:Heterocephalus glaber contig10077, whole genome shotgun sequence.